UACAGAGGGUGCGAGCGUUGUUCGGAAUUAUUGGGCGUAAAGGGCGCGUAGGCGGUGCGGUAAGUCACCUGUGAAAUCUCCUGGCUCAACUGGGAGCUUGCAGGCGAAACUGCCGUGCUGGAGUGUGGGAGAGGUGCGUGGAAUUCCCGGUGUAGCGGUGAAAUGCGUAGAUAUCGGGAGGAACAUCAGUGGCGAAGGCGGCCUGCUGGGCUGUUGCUGACGCUGAGGCGCGACAGCGUGGGGAGCAAACAGG
rnacentral:rRNA from 1 species